rnacentral:rRNA from 1 species
GAUGAACGCUGGCGGCGUGCUUAACACAUGCAAGUCGAACGAGAAAUGGAGACGGAACCCUUCGGGCGGAAGGCUUCAUUUCGAGUGGCGGACGGGUGAGUAACGCGUGGGUAACCUGCCUCAUACAGGGGGAUAACAGUUGGAAACGACUGUUAAUACCGCAUCAGACCACAGCACCGCAUGGUGCGGGGGUAAAAACUCCGGUGGUAUGAGAUGGACCCGCGUUCGAUUAGCCAGUUGGCGGGGUAACGGCCCACCAAAGCGACGAUCGAUAGCCGAUCUGAGAGGAUGACCGGCCACAUUGGGACUGAGACACGGCCCAAACUCCUACGGGAGGCAGCAGUGGGGAAUAUUGCACAAUGGGGGAAACCCUGAUGCAGCGACGCCGCGUGAGUGAAGAAGUACUUCGGUAUGUAAAGCUCUAUCAGCAGGGAAGAAAAUGACGGUACCUGAGUAAGAAGCCCCGGCUAACUACGUG